rnacentral:tmRNA from 1 species
GGGGGCGAAAUGGCUUCGACGGAGAUUUUGAGGCCUGUGGUAGCAUACCGAGUCUUUUGUCAGCUCGUAAACUUGGCAAAGCUUUAAACAUAAUCGCAGAUGAUUAUAAUUACGCUGUAGCUGCGUAGAGCAGCUUCCGUCCUCCUGAAAUCCUUCUUGCAGAUCUCAGGCCAGGGCGUCGACUUUGCAAGACCGCCUUUUAAGGGCGCCUGAACCUUAAAGGUUAAAUUUUUCAGGCUAUACUGUUUUGUAUCCAUCUCAGAGGAGACAUUCCAAUUCCAGCUAAUUUUAAAUUUUGAGAUAAGUAUGUAGAAGCCAGGGUUGAUCGUUUUCGGACGCGGGUUCAACUCCCGCCGCCUCCACCA